CUCUAUUUCAUAAAUAAAAGGUACAUGAGUUAUUUAUACUAGUGGGAGAAGGAAAAGUCUUCAUAACUUGGACGAUGUGGGACUAAUUCAUAACACAAAAAUCACUAUCCUAAACAAUAUGGGACUUGUAUUCCCUUAUUACAAUUAACUAAUAUAAUUGACCUACUAACUCUACUUGCUCCUGCGUCAUUCUCCUUGGGUUGAAAGAACUCUUGCGUGAAAAGACUUGUGAUAGCAGAUGAUUUCCUUGAUGAAUCCACACCAAAAGAUCUCCUUGAUGAAUCCACACCAAAGACCCACACUCACAAAUCAGAUAAAAUUUUACAAGAUCCGUGGCAGCAGACGAUCGCAUUGAUGAAUCCACACCAAAAAAAUUCCAUUGGCGAAUCCACGCCAAAAACCUGCACCUACAAAUCAAAUAAAAUUCCACUAAAGCAAGGUGAAAGCCACAAGGACCGACCUUGCUCUGAUACCAAACUGACGCCGGGACGUCGCUUGGGAUACCAAUCUUGGCGAGGUUAACAACCCCACUAUGGUGACAUAGUUUAGAUUCACCAAUCUUGGCGAGGUUAGUAACCCUACUAUGGUGAAAAUAGCCAUAAACCCACCUUGGUCGGCCAAGCCAAGGAUGCACCUCUUACUCUCAAAGAGUCUAGAGGAAAAUAAGCACACAGCUUAUUUUAUAUUCAAAAAUCAACUUCAACUCUAUUUCAUAAAUAAAAGGUACAUGCGUUAUUUAUACUAGUAGGGGAAGGAAAAGUCUUCAUGACUCGGACGAUGUGGGACUAAAAUAUAACACAAAGUUCACUAUCCUAAACAAUAUGGGACUUAUAUUCCCUUAUUACAAUUAACUAAUAUAAUUAACCUACUAACUCUACUUGCUCCUGCGUCAGUUAAAGUCAUCAGAUGUAAUUUUUUAAACUUUUGAAAGUUAUAUCACACUUUCUU
rnacentral:lncRNA from 1 species